UAUGUAUAUAUACAAUUUUCUGUCUCUUUAUACAAACACAAACAUAUUUUAUACAUUUGUGUUUGUGUAAAAGCGAGAGAGGCGAGCGAGACUGCCACCAAACGAGAGUGGCGAGUGAGAUUCCACCAGGGAGAGAGGCGAAAAUAAUAAUAAUUUGCUAUAUAGUACAAUUAAAUCAAAAUAUAUAGUUAUAGAACUUAAUUUGAAUUAUAGUUUGAUAUUAUAUACCAUUUUUCCUUAUUAUUAUUAUACUUACUAUAAUAUAAUCUUCAUAACCUGGUUUUCUUGAAUUCGCUUCUUCUACUCCAUCUUCAGUUUUAUAUACUUUGUGAAUCAUAGCAAUUUGUAGCUUAUUCUUUUUAUAUAUGUAAUAUAUAUUUAGGUUUCAAUUGAAAUAUUAAUAUUUUCAUGUCCGAUUUUAUAUUUUUUAUUUGACCAAAUACAUACGCAGGUUCUUAUUGAAUCCUUGAACCCCCAAUAAUUUGAUCCUUUUAAGUAUUCUUGGCUGAUGUGUAGCCAAACGUAAUCUCAUGUCCUUUAAGCGCUGAUGUGGAUCUUGAACCACCCACCAACAGUCUUCUUCCCCCUUUUAACUCUAAUUUCUCCCAUUCUUCUCUUAUUUCUCCUCUUUUGUUUCUCUUCAUCAUUAUUUCUCCUCUUUAGCUCACUAUAUUAUGUCUCUUUUUCAUUGAUUUCUUCUUAAUCAUCAAGUUCCAAUGUCAAAUUUAUCUUCUUCAUUGAUUUCUUCUUCUUCAACUGCAAAUGUGCUAUGUCAAUGUGGGAACAUUGUGGAAAUGAACCUCAUGGACGCAAUCCAAUCCUUGAUGUAGGUUCUUUUGUUGCAAAACUUCAAAGGCACGAGGUGGAUGUGAAUAUUUCCGAUGGUAUGAUGAUGAAAUGCUGGCUCAAGCUAGGAGGGUGAUAUGAGGUUUGUUGAAAAAAGUCAAAAUAUAUGAAUUGGAGAGGAAUCGAUCAAGAAAAGUUUGGAUGAUAUGCAUUGUCGUAGGGGUGAUAUUGACUACUUGGAUUUGUGUAACAAAACGAUCUUAGUUGUUUCAUUUCUCUUCUACUAAAUUACUUCAUAAAAGUAUGUAUGGUAGAUUGUAGUGUUCUUUAUGAGGACAAUUUUGAUCGAUUUUUCUAUUGUAAA